rnacentral:rRNA from 1 species
AGAGUUUGAUCCUGGCUCAGGAUGAACGCUGGCGGCGUGCUUAACACAUGCAAGUCGAACGGGAAUGCUUCGCUGAUGCGAUUUCGGUCAAAUCUUGAAGCAUUUUAGUGGCGGACGGGUGGGUGACGCGUGGGUAACCUGCCCUGUACAGGGGGACAACAGUUGGAAACGACUGCUAAUACCGCAUAAGCGCACAGCUUCGCAUGAAGCAGUGUGAAAAACUCCGGUGGUACAGGAUGGACCCGCGUUUGAUUAGAUAGUUGGUGAGGUAACGGCCCACCAAGUCAACGAUCAGUAGCCGGCCUGAGAGGGCGAACGGCCACAUUGGGACUGAGACACGGCCCAAACUCCUACGGGAGGCAGCAGUGGGGAAUAUUGCACAAUGGGGGAAACCCUGAUGCAGCGACGCCGCGUGAGUGAAGAAGGUUUUCGGAUCGUAAAACUCUGUUGUUGGAGAAGAACGUAUUUGAUAGUAACUGAUCAGGUAGUGACGGUAUCCAACCAGAAAGCCACGGCUAACUACGUGCCAGCAGCCGCGGUAAUACGUAGGUGGCAAGCGUUGUCCGGAUUUAUUGGGCGUAAAGCGAGCGCAGGCGGUUUCUUAAGUCUGAUGUGAAAGCCUUCGGCUCAACCGAAGAAGUGCAUCGGAAACUGGGGAACUUGAGUGCAGAAGAGGACAGUGGAACUCCAUGUGUAGCGGUGAAAUGCGUAGAUAUAUGGAAGAACACCAGUGGCGAAGGCGGCUGUCUGGUCUGUAACUGACGCUGAGGCUCGAAAGCAUGGGUAGCAAACAGGAUUAGAUACCCUGGUAGUCCAUGCCGUAAACGAUGAGUGCUAGGUGUUGGAGGGUUUCCACCCUUCAGUGCCGCAGCUAACGCAUUAAGCACUCCGCCUGGGGAGUACGACCGCAAGGUUGAAACUCAAAGGAAUUGACGGGGGCCCGCACAAGCGGUGGAGCAUGUGGUUUAAUUCGAAGCAACGCGAAGAACCUUACCAGGUCUUGACAUCCUUUGACCACUCUAGAGAUAGAGCUUUCCCUUCGGGGACAAAGUGACAGGUGGUGCAUGGUUGUCGUCAGCUCGUGUCGUGAGAUGUUGGGUUAAGUCCCGCAACGAGCGCAACCCUUAUUACUAGUUGCCAGCAUUUAGUUGGGCACUCUAGUGAGACUGCCGGUGACAAACCGGAGGAAGGUGGGGACGACGUCAAAUCAUCAUGCCCCUUAUGACCUGGGCUACACACGUGCUACAAUGGAUGGUACAACGAGUCGCGAGACCGCGAGGUUUAGCUAAUCUCUUAAAACCAUUCUCAGUUCGGAUUGUAGGCUGCAACUCGCCUACAUGAAGCCGGAAUCGCUAGUAAUCGCGGAUCAGCAUGCCGCGGUGAAUACGUUCCCGGGCCUUGUACACACCGCCCGUCACACCAUGAGAGUUUGUAACACCCAAAGCCGGUGAGGUAACCUUCGGGAGCCAGCCGUCUAAGGUGGGACAGAUGAUUAGGGUGAAGUCGUAACAAGGUA